GAUGAAGAACGCAGCGAAAUGCGAUAAGUAAUGUGAAUUGCAGAAUUCAGUGAAUCAUCGAAUCUUUGAACGCACAUUGCGCCCGUUAGCAUUCUAGCGGGCAUGCCUGUCCGAGCGUCAUUUCAACCCUCAGGGUCCCCGUUCCGGCGGGGAACCUGGUGUUGGGGAUCGGCCCGCCCCGCGCGGCGCCGUCCCCCAAAUUCAGUGGCGGUCCCGCCGCAGCUUCCAUCGCGUAGUAGCUAACACCUCGCGACUGGAGAGCGGCGCGGCCACGCCGUAAAACACCCAACUCUUCUGAAGUUGACCUCGAAUCAGGUAGGAAUACCCGCUGAACUUAAGCAUAUCAAUAAGCGGAGGA
rnacentral:misc_RNA from 1 species